UUAUAACCACAUCAUUAUUACAGGGUGAGCUACUUCUAACGUUGCUACAGUUUAUUUAUUAUUAGUGCCUUCGAAGUUGCAUUUUUUAUCAAUGCGGCUUCAUAAACGCGGAUCGGGACGGGAUCAACGAGACCGCCCUGUGGACCGUCUUACUCUCGGGUUUCACUGGGUCGGGAGGAAGCAGAGCGUCCUUUGUGCUAACGAAAUCCAUCGCGGAAUGUGCGCUAAAAAAUCCAACCACAUUUCCAAAGGAAUUUUUUAACUGUGAAGGGACUGGCGCCUUCUUUAACUGCUAUCGACAAGCGUUGAAAAAUUGUGAAGACAAUGAUAAAUAUGAUGAAGAAUAUACUUCUCAUCUCGGAAACAAGACAAAGCAAUCAAAACAUUAAUUGCCCGAGAAAAAAUCGUUAAAUUAACUGUUCCUUUACGCAACUAUGUAUCUAUGUAUAUUGAUUACAGUGAAUAAAUACAUACAUACGAACUCUGAA